rnacentral:rRNA from 1 species
GACGAACGCUGGCGGCGUGCUUAACACAUGCAAGUCGAACGGAAAGGCCCUGCUUUUGUGGGGUGCUCGAGUGGCGAACGGGUGAGUAACACGUGAGUAACCUGCCCUUGACUUUGGGAUAACUUCAGGAAACUGGGGCUAAUCCCGGCUAGGAGCUCCUGCUGCAUGGUGGGGGUUGGAAAGUUUCGGCGGUUGGGGAUGGACUCGCGGCUUAUCAGCUUGUUGGUGGGGUAGUGGCUUACCAAGGCUUUGACGGGUAGCCGGCCUGAGAGGGUGACCGGCCACAUUGGGACUGAGAUACGGCCCAGACUCCUACGGGAGGCAGCAGUGGGGAAUAUUGCACAAUGGGCGGAAGCCUGAUGCAGCAACGCCGCGUGCGGGAUGACGGCCUUCGGGUUGUAAACCGCUUUCGCCUGUGACGAAGCGUGAGUGAGGGUAAUGGGUAAAGAGGCACCGGCUAAGUACGUG